rnacentral:rRNA from 1 species
CCUACGGGCGGCAGCAGUGGGGAAUAUUGGGCAAUGGAGGCAACUCUGACCCAGCAACGCCGCGUGAGCGAUGAAGGUCUUCGGAUUGUAAAGCUCUGUCGCAGGGGACGAAGUAUGACGGUACCCUGUAAGAAAGCCCCGGCAAACUACGUGCCAGCAGCCGCGGUAAUACGUAGGGGGCUAGCGUUGUCCGGAAUUACUGGGCGUAAAGGGAGUGUAGACGGCUUGUCAAGUUAAGUGUGAAAGCCUGCGGCUUAACCGCAGAAUUGCACUUAAAACUGACUCGCUAGAGUGCAGGAGAGGUGAGUGGAAUUCCUAGUGUAGCGGUGGAAUGCGUAGAUAUUAGGAGGAACACCAGAGGCGAAGGCGGCUCACUGGACUGUAACUGACGUUGAGGCUCGAAAGCGUGGGGAGCAAACAGGAUUAGAUACCCUGGU